GAUCAUGGCUCAGGAUGAACGCUGGCGGCGUGCUUAACACAUGCAAGUCGAACGGGAAACUUUUUAUUGAAGCUUCGGCAGAUUUAAUUUGUUUCUAGUGGCGGACGGGUGAGUAACGCGUGGGUAACCUGCCCUAUACAGGGGGAUAACAACCAGAAAUGGUUGCUAAUACCGCAUAAGCGCACAGGACCGCAUGGUCCGGUGUGAAAAACUCCGGUGGUAUAGGAUGGACCCGCGUUGGAUUAGCCAGUUGGCAGGG
rnacentral:rRNA from 1 species